AGCCGCUCUCUCUCUUCUCUCGCCCUCUCAUUCUUCUCUUCGUCAAUCCUUUCAGUUUUCUCAUCGUCAUAGUGAAUUCGAGAUCCCAAGGACUAGAUCGAUCAAGCUCACGAGGCUAAGGUCUCUGUUGGGUCAUGAAGACCAGAUCGAUGGCCAGGGAUCUGAGCGGGAUAGUGAAGGAGAUUCUCUCGGCCGGGUGUCGGGUCGAAGGCAAGGAUCUCUAGGAUUUUCAUCGGAGAUUACCCAGGAGAUUUUCAUCUACCAAUCUUUAUAUUCCUCAGUGAUACGUCUUCUGCACCUUGGUGCUUGGUAUCUCAAUGCCGAAAGACCUAGCUUGAAACAUCAAAGGAAAUGGAAAUCAGAUCCAGAUUGCUGUUGAAGCUGAUGAUGUCUUCAAAAUUGCUUGCUGCUUAGCUUUUUCUAGACCAAGAUGGUUGGAAAACUUAUCAAAAUUGUUAGAUUCUUUUAUGUUGGUGGAAGCUGCUUUAGCAGAGCAUGAAAUUUCUGGCAGGUGGAAUGAAGAGCUCUUACCAUCUGGCAGUACAAAUUACAGAAUCAACUCAAGCUGGGGAACUAACCAAUGGUUCGAAAUUGAUGACAAUAAUUUCAAUUUAAUCAUUGAACAAGUGGCAACUGUGAAACUAGUCAAGCUUUUGGUACCUCUUGUGAGUACUUUCCAAUACGAAGGAGAUCAUGAACGUUACAGACUUACAGUGGCGAAAGAGAGGCCAAGACUUCAUGAGAAAACCCAAGGACAAACACUACAAUGAUGAGGAGCUUGUCAUGAUCAUCACUACCUGAUGGUCUUUCAAUUGUUUUUGGGUCUUUCAAUUGUUGACGGGCUGUUCUUUUUAUUUUUAUUUAUUUUUAUAUCAAAAUGGCUCCAAUGGCCUUCAUUCCUAGUUUCUUAA